rnacentral:tRNA from 1 species
CAAAGGGUAGUUUAAAGCUUAGAAUGCUAGCUUUGGGAGCUUGUGGUGGCGGUUAAAGUCCGCUCUCUUUGA